rnacentral:rRNA from 1 species
UACGGAGGGUGCAAGCGUUAUCCGGAUUCACUGGGUUUAAAGGGUGCGUAGGAGGGCAGGUAAGUCAGUGGUGAAAUCUUCGAGCUUAACUCGGAAACUGCCGUUGAUACUAUCUGUCUUGAAUACCGUGGAGGUGAGCGGAAUAUGUCAUGUAGCGGUGAAAUGCUUAGAUAUGACAUAGAACACCAAUUGCGAAGGCAGCUGGCUACACAAAUAUUGACGCUGAGGCACGAAAGCGUGGGGAUCAAACAGG